rnacentral:rRNA from 1 species
GGGGAAUUUUCCGCAAUGGGCGAAAGCCUGACGGAGCAAUACCGCGCGAGGGAGGAAUGCCUUUGGGUUGUAAACCUCUUUUCUCAGGGAAGAAGAUCUGACGGUACCUGAGGAAUAAGUAUCGGCUAACUCCGUGCCAGCAGCCGCGGUAAUACGGAGGAUGCAAGCGUUAUCCGGAAUUAUUGGGCGUAAAGCGUCCGCAGGUGGUUUCCAAAGUCUGCUGUUAAAGACUGGAGCUCAACUCCGGAACGGCGGUGGAAACUUGGAAACUAGAGUUCGGUAGGGGUAGCAGGAAUUCCCAGUGUAGCGGUGAAAUGCGUAGAUAUUGGGAAGAACAUCGGUGGCGAAGGCGUGCUACUGGACCGUAACUGACACUCAGGGACGAAAGCUAGGGGAGCGAAAGGGAUUAGAUACCCCUGUAGUCCUAGCUGUAAACGAUGGAAACUAGGUGUGGCUUG